CUCGGCUCCAACCGGGACUCGCCCCCGAGGCGGAUGCGCCGGCCGGACCAGCGGAUUCGCGGGUCGGGGUCACGCUGGUCAGUCUGUGUCCCUGAUCUAACCCAGGGAUGCCUAGUGAUUCAACAGUAUACGUCCCAGAAGCGAAACUAACAAGAGCACGUAAGAGAAAACAGAGGAUCCCAAAAUGAAGACACUUGCUCAAGUUCACACAGCUGUUAAGUGGAUGGCAAGGGGCCAGACUUCUAAGGACUGGCUCUGUGGCUGGUACAAAAAGAAACUUUCAAAAGAGAACAAAGAAAGCGUCAAAAGAAUAAGUGUGUAACUUCCCAAGACGAGAUUGGCGUUUUAUACAAGUAGACUGAGCUCUCCUGAAAAGGAAGGAAUUCUGUUUCCAUGUUGCGACAUAGAAACCCUGCCUGAGUUUCUAGCCUUUGGACUCAAGACUGCAACAUCAGCUCUUGCUGGAAUUUCCAGCCUACAGCCUGCCCCACGGAUUUUGGACAUGUCAACCCCUACAAUCACAGGACAUUGACGUUGACAGAGAAAGACCAAAGGAAUCUUUGUGACUUCAUCCAAAUGUCACAGCAAGAGUGAAAUAAGAAUGGAGAAAAAGGAAGCAAUCUCCGUGGUUUCAUUGGCGCUCACUCAUUGAGCCUUCCAGAGGAGGCUCCUGCCUUGCGAAGGUUCAGAGUCUAGGACAUCUAAUCCACCCAGAGGGGGCUUCAUAUUUGAUUAGGCCCUUGGAAUCCAGCUUAGAAAAUGAGCUGUUAAAAAGUCGAGGCAAAAUAGAGAGUGGACCCCUGACUCUUAGGGUGGGUUGGCGGCCGGUCUGAGCAGGAAGUGUUCUGAUGUGCUGACAGUGAGGAAACAGGCCGUGUUUUUGUUUAUUUUCUCAUAAAGUGCUGAUGAACAAAUGAGGUAGUUGCAUUAAGGGGCUCCGAAGCAAGCUGUGAAAAGAGAUUGGGGUUUAUCAGCCUUUUAGCCUGGUUUCCUUUGGAAAGAAUGCUUGUGACAUGGCGAGGCUCUGCAAGUCUGCGUGUCCACCCCCUCGGCGCGGCGCCCCUCCUCCCCGCACGCUCCUUGAUAACUUUGACUGCCUCAAACUGAUGUCAGCCCUUUUUGGUAGAUGGGGAGAAGGAGGGCCUCAUGGAUUCCUUAAUAAUAGAAGCAAAUGCUCGAGAGAUAGAGCAAUUUCCACACAUUAAAUAACCUCCUUUUUGUUUUUUGUGCUUAUGCUUGAUAGUUCUAAAUUUAAUUUGUGGACUCCUUUAAAGAGAUUUCUAGGAAAUUGGUGGGGGUGGGAAGUAGGAGAGGGCUCUGUUGGGAGGACAUUCAUAUUUUUUUGGAUCUAAGAUCUUACCUGACACAAGAAUGGAGGAAAGUCAGAAAUAUGAGGAAAGCAUUGCCUAUAGCUAUGAAUAAAUCUGUCACUUGGAAGAUAAAAACGCUUAAGCAGCAUACCUUAAAAUAAAGUAUGAGCUUUGAAUCCUUGGUGGAGCAAUGCAUGGAACAAAGAAAGAAAUGGUCAAAUAAAUUUAAAAAAUUAGAUAAUCCAGAAGCUUGCUUUGCUGCUAAACUCUGUGUCCUUCCAAGUUUCGUAAAGAGUAAUUGUAGAGUGGCCGUUAUCUCUGCUCCUUAGCUCUAGUUACCUCAGCUGCAAAGGUCGUGGCACCUUCCUCUGGGGGAGAAAUGAAGUCUGUUUCUCCUGAGCCAGAGUUGACAUCGUAGGAGUACAGUAACGUCUGGUAAAAUAACUCACUCAAAAUCAAGUUUGACCAGUGUGCUUCUGAGUCAAGGGAUUUAAAAUGUUUCACAGAUGACAGCAAUUUUAACCAAUGUGACCUAGGAUAAUUCCAAGGAAUAAAAAAUAUGGUAAAUGGUUCAGAAUGGAUUUGGUCCAAUACUGAAGGUUUUACAGGUUUUUUUAAAAAUUUCUUGCAAUGCAUGAAUAAAUGAAAAUAAUAAUAGGGUUUUGGAAGUAAUUGGAUUAUAUAUUGGAAGGAGAUGAAAUAUUUGAUGUGAAGUUCAAUUUGCUCAGAAAUAAGGACUAGCAUACACUUUGCUCUUUCCUGCUGUGUAUAUAUAUAUAUAUAUUUUUAAUUAAAAAUAUUUUUUCUUUUUGAGGAAGAUUAGCCCUGAGCCAACAUCUGUCACCCAUCCUCCU
ensembl:lncRNA